rnacentral:rRNA from 1 species
UGGGGAAUAUUGCACAAUGGGCGCAAGCCUGAUGCAGCCAUGCCGCGUGUAUGAAGAAGGCCUUCGGGUUGUAAAGUACUUUCAGUCGGGAGGAAGGUGUCAAGGUUAAUAACCUUGUCGAUUGACGUUACCCGCAGAAGAAGCACCGGCUAACUCCGUGCCAGCAGCCGCGGUAAUACGGAGGGUGCAAGCGUUAAUCGGAAUUACUGGGCGUAAAGCGCACGCAGGCGGUCUGUCAAGUCGGAUGUGAAAUCCCCGGGCUUAACCUGGGAACUGCAUUCGAAACUGGCAGGCUAGAGUCUUGUAGAGGGGGGUAGAAUGCCAGGGGUAGCGGUGAAAUGCGUAGAAAUCUGGAGGAAUACCGGUGGCGAAGGCGGCCCCCUGGACAAAGACUGACGCUAAGGUGCGAAAGCGGGGGGAGCAAACAGG